CUCUAUGUUCUGCUCUGUGCUGCUGGGGUCAGGGUCUGUAAGCUGUGCUUCUCAGAAACUUUUGCCAGUUGGUUUCCUAUUAGCUGAUGGACUGGCAAUGGGAAGAACCGGAGGGAGAUUGGAAGACAGAAUUAAGUAGAAGGGGCCUUUUCUAUUUCUAGUGCUGGCCUCACUACAGCAGGAACAGCCACAAAGUAGAGCGAUGGCUUUAGCCCCCGGUUUCAUGUGGCACUCCAGUGUGCUGUUCUCUCGUAGAUGUGCCAACACCAGCCAGCCACAUCCUCCUGGAGGUCUGAUCAGCAGCAGGUAGGCAGGGCCUCUUCUAACCCUCUCUCUUCUCACUUGUUCCCCUAAUUUGGCUCCCAGCUGCUUUCUGCAGUUAUGAAUACUUGGGCUACUUCCGCUUCCCCCUUUUUUGCCCCCUCAACUUCCCAUCAUCUCUGUAACAAAUUCUCCGAAUUAAGUCCCUUCUGUUUGAAAUACCUAGCUUGGUUUCCAUUUUCCUGACUAGACCCUGUCUGAUGCAACAGCCAUCCUCAGCAGGCCGAGGAGAGGUCUGUGGUUACUUUGGCUGAACACAGCCAGCUGAGACCUAGCUGCCCAGACACCGUGAAGCCCACACCCAACCAGUAAGAUGGUUAUUAAGAUGGUCCUGCCUUCUGUUUCACUGAGAAACUUGGCAGCAUCAGCUGCAGAUUCCAUAGGCUUUUUUCUUCCUUCCCAACUAAUGUGGGCCCUCCAUGCAUGGCAUUCUUUACAGGGGCGUCUCUCCCUUCUCCUGCCGAACUGAGAUCCUCAAGAGAACAUGCCCUUGACUGGCGGUCAAGGUCACUGGUGCUCCGUAAGUCCUUCUGAAACAUCCUUUUUCAGAAGCAGAAAGAAGCCCAUGGUUCCAAGAUGAGGGGCUGAGGAUUCAUGGCUACACCCCGGACCACAUGGAGUCGAAGUAUUGAGAAGAAGAACGGGACCUCAUGCUGAGAUAGCGUCUCCCAAGUUGAGUUGGCUCGCUGGAAAACAACUGGAUAGGGUAUGGGUCUUUAUCACAGUUUCCA
rnacentral:lncRNA from 1 species